rnacentral:rRNA from 1 species
GACGAACGCUGGCGGCGUGCUUAACCCAUGCAAGUCGAACGGAAAGGCCCUGCUUUUGUGGGGUGCUCGGGUGGCGAACGGGUGAGUAACACGUGAGUAACCUGCCCUUGACUUUGGGAUAACUUCAGGAAACUGGGGCUAAUACCGGAUAGGAGCUCCUGCUGCAUGGUGGGGGUUGGAAAGUUUCGGCGGUUGGGGAUGGACUCGCGGCUUAUCAGCUUGUUGGUGGGGUAGUGGCUUACCAAGGCUUUGACGGGUAGCCGGCCUGAGAGGGUGACCGGCCACAUUGGGACUGAGAUACGGCCCAGACUCCUACGGGAGGCAGCAGUGGGGAAUAUUGCACAAUGGGCGGAAGCCUGAUGCAGCAACGCCGCGUGCGGGAUGACGGCCUUCGGGUUGUAAACCGCUUUCGCCUGUGACGAAGCGUGAGUGACGGUAAUGGGUAAAGAAGCACCGGCUAACUACGUG